AGAAGUUAUUCUGUAGAGAGGGAGCUGUGCCUGAAAAUGCAAAGAUGAAGAUCUCAUUCGUGUGUCACUAAUCUAUUUAUUCAAUUAUCCAUUUACUAACAUUCAAACAAUAUCUACUGAAUAGGUAUCACCAGUGCUAAUUUUUGUCAUAUAUGAUAUAUAUUCAAAAAAUUUAUUUCCUCAACUUCAGUGUCAAUGGGUUUCUGGAUUUAAGCACAUUGGUUUUAAAUGCAGGUGUAUUUUUUUUUUUUUUUAAUUGGCAAAUGUGUUAAAAUGUGCCACCAGCUGAACCAUGUCUUUUGGGAUGAAUGAAAAAGUGCUCCCUUCAUUAAAUACCAAGGGACAUGCAAAAUAAUUAAGCAAUUAAAAUUAAGACAAAAACACUUCUCUAGAAAUUUCAUUUAACACUGAUAAGAUUAACAUAAACCUGUCUUAACAUGACUGUGUUUUGUACAAAGACAUUUUAUCAACAGCCUACAGAUGUUUUCAAGGUUUGAAUGACAAUUUUUUAUUUAGAAAUUUUAAUUUCACAACUAUUUAAAAGUCUAUUAUCUAGAAUUUUAUCCAUGGAAAUAAGCUUUGUUUUUCUUUCCAUGCAUAUUACAUUUAGAUUCAAGAGUAAGAAAGGAAAUAAUUUUGAGAACAAUUGGCUUGAGCUGAGUAUCUCAUCUCCUUCUCUGCUUCAAAACAGAUAGAGCCUUAGUUAACACAGUGUUGUGUCAAAUUCUAGAGUUAUAAUGGGGUCGUGUAUGUCCCAAUGUUACAACAUUUGAAAAACUAAAUAAAUAAAUGGCUAUAAGAAUCCAAUGAACACAUAGAUCUUGUUAAAAGAUUACUAAUUUAUUUUUGAAACC
rnacentral:lncRNA from 1 species